rnacentral:rRNA from 1 species
ACCAUUAACGCUAGCUCUAACCACUUGAUAUUUAUUAUUUCAUUAACUAAAACAUUCUACAUUUUAGUAUAGGCGAUAGAAACAAUAAUUGAAGCCAUAGAAAAAGUACCGCAAGGGAAUGCUGAAAAAGAACUUAAACAAACCAUAAAAGUAUUAAAAAGCAAGAAUUAACUCCUGUACCUUUUGCAUCAUGAUCUAACUAGAAUACACAAGGCAAAAAGACUUUUAGUCUUUCCCCCCGAAACUAAACGAGCUAUUUAAAAGCAACCUAUAUUAGGGUAAAUCCGUCUCUGUGGCAAAAGAGUGGAAAGACUUUUAAAUAGGGGUGAUAUACCAAACGAGUUUAGUGAUAGCUGGUUACUCAAGAAAUGAGUCUAAGCUCCUCCUUAAUUCUUAUUUAGAAUACUUAUUAAAUUACAAUAAAAUAUUAAGAGUAAUUCAAAAGGGGAACAGCCCUUAUGAAAAAGGAUACAACCUAAAACAAUGGGUAAUGAUUAAAAUAAUUAAAAUUUUGACCAAAGUAAGCCUAAAAGCAGCUACCUAUUAAGAAAGCGUCACAGCUCAAAUCUAAACAUAAUUAACUAAUCCAAAUACUAACUCAAAACCCAUUAAAACUAAUGAGUAUGCCUAUAAUAAUAUAGCCGAAUUAAUGUUAGAAUUAGUAAUAAGAAACCAUAAUUUUCUCUAAAGCACCUGUAUAAAUCAGCUCGAACNNNNNNNNNNNNNNNNNNNNNNNNNNNNNNNNNNNNNNNNNNNNNNNNNNNNNNNNNNNNNNNNNNNNNNCCGUUAAUCCAACACAGGAGUGCUAUUCAAGAAAGACACAAAAGUAUAAGAAGGAACUCGGCAACCAUAAGCUUCGCCUGUUUACCAAAAACAUCACCUCUAGCAAACCUUAACAUGUAUUAGAGGCACUGCCUGCCCAGUGAUUUUAUUCAACGGCCGCGGUAUUCUGACCGUGCAAAGGUAGCAUAAUCACUUGUCUUUUAAAUAAAGACUAGUAUGAACGGCACCACGAAAGCCUAACUGUCUCCUUUACUUAGUCAAUGAAAUUGAUCUUCCCGUACAAAAGCGUGAAUACUAAAACAAGACGAGAAGACCCUAUGGAACUUAAAACACGCAACCACUUUAAUCUUAUAUAACAGUAAUAAAUACUUGGAUUAUGCUGUUUUUGGUUGGGGCGACCACGGAGAAAAACAAAACCUCCGAGAACAUUACCAAGAGUGACGCAACAAAGUACCAAAACCCUUGGAUUUUAGACCCAAUAAAUUUGAUCAUCGAACCAAGCUACCCUAGGGAUAACAGCGCAAUCUUCUUCAAGAGCCCUUAUCACCAAGAAGGUUUACGACCUCGAUGUUGGAUCAGGAUGUCCCGACAGUGCAGCCGCUGUCAAAGGUUUGUUUGUUCAACAAUUAAUAUCCUACGUGAUCUGAGUUCAGACCGGAGUAAUCCAGGUCAGUUUCUAUCUAUUUAAUUAUUCCAUUUAGUACGAAAGGACCAAUGAAAUGGGACCAAUAUAAAAUACACGUCCCCAAAAAAAUUUAUGAAACCAACUAAAUACAAUACCACUACGACNCCUNCUAGAUUAGGGGUUU